UUGGGCANUGGAGACAUUGUCUUCAGUUAGGCUGGCCCCAGAACAGGUGCUGCAUGGCUGUCGUCAGCUCGUGUCGUGAGAUGUUGGGUUAAGUCCCGCAACGAGCGCAACCCUCGCCCUUAGUUGCCAGCAUUUAGUUGGGCACUCUAAGGGGACUGCCGGUGAUAAGCCGAGAGGAAGGUGGGGAUGACGUCAAGUCCUCAUGGCCCUUACGGGCUGGGCUACACACGUGCUACAAUGGUGGUGACAGUGGGCAGCGAGACAGCGAUGUCGAGCUAAUCUCCAAAAGCCAUCUCAGUUCGGAUUGCACUCUGCAACUCGAGUGCAUGAAGUUGGAAUCGCUAGUNAUCGCAGAUCANCAUGCUGCGGUGAAUACGUUCCCGGGUCUUGUUCACACCG
rnacentral:rRNA from 1 species